GACGUAGGGGGCCAGCGUUGUUCGGAAUUACUGGGUGUAAAGGGUUCGUAGGCGGUGCGGCAAGUUGGGAGUGAAAUCUCUGGGCUUAACCCAGAGGCUGCUUCCAAAACUGCUGUGCUUGAGUGUGGGAGAGGCGCGUGGAAUUGCAGGUGUAGCGGUGAAAUGCGUAGAUAUCUGCAGGAACACCCGUGGUCGGAAAGCGGCGCGCUGGACCACUACUGACGCUGAGGAACGAAAGCUAGGGGAGCAAACAGG
rnacentral:rRNA from 1 species